GGGUUAGAGAGGAGAAUGCCUCUUCUCCGCCCCGGUGCUCCCUGCAGCUGCCGAUCAAGUCUCCCGUCCGUCGCGGCCGAAGCCAAGUAGACUCCCGGCAGCGCCGACGACAAGAUCUGAACCUCGGGGGAGCUUUUCAUUGGAGGUAUCGGAUAGACAGACGACAGUUCUUCUCAUCAGAGCAGGAGCCUACCUUGGCAGGCUAUGCUAUAGAAAAUAUCUGAAGACACACAGGUACGCUGCCUGCUGUUCAGCAUAGCUGUCUCAGCUCAGACUUGAGGAGCAA